rnacentral:lncRNA from 1 species
CUUCAGUUUAUGUUUCAGAGUUAUAUUUCAGAGUGGUUUCCCUGUUUCUUGCCUCUUUCGUGUUUUGAUCUUGGACACUUUCAUGCUUUUGAUUGUUUGCUGCCUCCUCUGACCUAUUGCAUGCAUUUUGGAUUACCCGCUUGCAAUGUUGUUUGCACCUGUUUGACUCUUGACUGUUCGACCAUUCUCAACAAAGCUGCAUUUGGAUCCUCUACUCCAUGUGUAGGCUCUUCAAAAUGGAAACCACCAAAGUUAAACCGAACAGGACUGCUUGACUCCAACAGAACGAUAAAUAAAGUUAAACAGGGUGAAGAAUCGAACACCGGUAGCCUUUGCCUUGGCAUUUUUUUUUUUCUCUUGUUCUUGCCACACACUGGGGGAACAUGAAGGGAGGGAUGCUUGAAGACUUCAGCCUUGUGAUAAAUACUUGGAUGAAUGAGCCUGAGAAUGUUACUGCUCUGGAUUGGGUCAGAGUACAGCACUGCUGGCUAAUCGAUCAGCUCAAGGUCUGACUUAUAUGCAUUCUGGCAGAGAGCAGAUCUUUUAGAAGCUCAUCAGUUGUUACAGUAAUGUGUUCUGCCAACUUUUCCAUACUUGUGGGAGGCCCAGAGUUAUUUCUCAAUUUGUAUUUGGUCUUGACUGUUGUCACUUGCUUUUCUUGACAUGAAUCAAAACAGUUUUAUGUCAGUUUGUGAAACCACAAACUUUUAAACCACACUUAAGGAAUUCAAAGACAGCAUGUGUAUGCUUGAGUGUCAGUUGCUAAUGUCCAACUUAUGGCUGUUUUUGUUUCAUUUUUUUUAACAUAUAUUUUAGUACAAAUUAAUUAAUAUAAAAUUGC